rnacentral:rRNA from 1 species
UACAGGCUUAACACAUGCAAGUCGAGGGGCAGCAUGGUCUUAUCUUGCUAAGGCCGAUGGCGACCGGCGCACGGGUGAGUAACACGUAUCCAACCUGCCGUCUACUCUUGGACAGCCUUCUGAAAGGAAAAUUAAUACAAGAUGGCAUCAUGACUCCGCAUGUUCACAUGAUUAAAGGUAUUCCGGUAGACGAUGGGGAUGCGUUCCAUUAGAUAGUAGGCGGGGUAACGGCCCACCUAUUCUUCGAUGGAUAGGGGUUCUGAGAGGACGGUCCCCCACAUUGGAACUGAGACACGGUCCAAACUCCUACGGGAGGCAGCAGUGAGGAAUAUUGGUCAAUGGGCGAGAGCCUGAACCAGCCAAGUAGCGUGAAGGAUGACUGCCCUAUGGGUUGUAAACUUCUUUUAUAAAGGAAUAAAGUCGGGUAUGCAUACCCGUUUGCAUGUACUUUAUGAAUAAGGAUCGGCUAACUCCGUGCCAGCAGCCGCGGUAAUACGGAGGAUCCGAGCGUUAUCCGGAUUUAUUGGGUUUAAAGGGAGCGUAGAUGGAUGUUUAAGUCAGUUGUGAAAGUUUGCGGCUCAACCGUAAAAUUGCAGUUGAUACUGGAUAUCUUGAGUGCAGUUGAGGCAGGCGGAAUUCGUGGUGUAGCGGUGAAAUGCUUAGAUAUCACGAAGAACUCCGAUUGCGAAGGCAGCCUGCUAAGCUGCAACUGACAUUGAGGCUCGAAAGUGUGGGUAUCAAACAGGAUUAGAUACCCUGGUAGUCCACACGGUAAACGAUAAAUGGUCGCUGUUUGGCGAUAUACAGCAAGCGGCCAAGCGAAAGCGUUAAGUAUUCCACCUGGGGAGUACGCCGGCAACGGUGAAACUCAAAGGAAUUGACGGGGGCCCGCACAAGCGGAGGAACAUGUGGUUUAAUUCGAUGAUACGCGAGGAACCUUACCCGGGCUUAAAUUGCAGAUGAAUUACGGUGAAAGCCGUAAGCCGCAAGGCAUCUGUGAAGGUGCUGCAUGGUUGUCGUCAGCUCGUGCCGUGAGGUGUCGGCUUAAGUGCCAUAACGAGCGCAACCCUUGUUGUCAGUUACUAACAGGUUCCGCUGAGGACUCUGACAAGACUGCCAUCGUAAGAUGUGAGGAAGGUGGGGGUG